rnacentral:rRNA from 1 species
UACGGAGGGUGCAAGCGUUAAUCGGAAUUACUGGGCGUAAAGCGUGCGCAGGCGGUUUGUUAAGUCUGUUGUGAAAUCCCCGAGCUCAACUUGGGAAUUGCAAUGGAUACUGGCAGGCUGGAGUAUGGUAGAGGAAGGUGGAAUUCCCGGUGUAGCAGUGAAAUGCGUAGAGAUCGGGAGGAACACCAAAGGCGAAGGCAGUGUCCUGGGGAAUACCUGACGCUCAGGUGCGAAAGCCAGGGGAGCGAACGGG